rnacentral:rRNA from 1 species
AGAAUGGGGGCACCCUGACCGCAAUGCCGCGUGAGUGAAGAAGGCCUUCGGGUUGUAAAGCUCUUUUGUCAGGGAAGAAACAGCAGCUCUAACACAGUCUGCGAAUGACGGUACCUGAAGAAUAAGCACCGGCUAGCUGCGUGCCAGCAGCCGCGGUAAUACGUAGGGUGCGAGCGUUAAUCGGAAUUACUGGGCGUAAAGCGCGCGCAGGCGGUUAUACAAGACAGGCGUGAAAUCCCCGGGCUUAACCUGGGAAUGGCGCCUGUGACUGUAUAGCUAGAGUGUGUCAGAGGGGGGUAGAAUUCCACGUGUAGCAGUGGAGUGGGUAGAUAUGUGGAGGAAUACCAAUGGCGAAGGCAGCCCCCUGGGAUAACACUGACGCUCAUGCACGAAA